GCCAGAAUGGUGUAGUGGUCUGAGUGCUGGAUUAUGACUCUAGAGACCAGGGUUUGAAUCCUUGCUCAAACA